AGAGAGAGAGAGAGAGAGAGAGAGAGAGAGAGAGAGAGAGAGAGAGAGAGAGAGAGAGAGAGAGAGAGAGAGAGAGAGAGAGAGAGAGAGAGAGAGAGAGAGAGAGAGAGAGAGAGAGAGAGAGAGAGAGAGAGAGAGAGAGAGAGAGAGAGAGAUAGGUCUGCUCACCAACCAAUAAUUCACAAAACGGGACAAACACCAAUUUGAGACUCCGCAUGCAGAAUUUUGCUAAAAUAUCCUCUGUGUACAAUGUAAAACACCAAAUAAUGCAUGCAGGGCAAAAUUAGGAUGAUACCCACUUAUUAAAAAUCCGGAAAAGUGCUGUUAAAAUCUACAACCACCUAAAAGGAAGCGAUUCCCAAACCUUCCAUAACAAAGCCAUCACCUACAGAGAGAUGAACCUGGAGAAGAGUCCCCUAAGCAAGCUGGUCCUGGGGCUCUGUUCACAAACACAAACAGACCCCACAGAUCCCCAGGACAGCAACAAAAUUAGACCCAACCAAAUCAUGAGAAAACAAAAAGAUAAUUACUUGACACUUUGGAAAGAAUUAACAAAACAACAGAGCAAACUAGAAUGCUAUUUGGCCCUAAACAGAGAGUACACAUUGGCAGAAUACCUGAACACUGUGAUUGACCAAAAAUUAAGGAAAUCAUUGACUAAUGUACAGACUCAGUGAGCAUUGCCUUGCUAUUGAGAAAGGCCGCCGUAGGCAGACCUGGCUCUCAAGAGAAUACAGGCUAUGUGCUCACUGCCCACAACAUGAGGUGGAAACUGAGCUGCACUUCCUAACCUCCUGUCCACCUCCUGUCCAACCAUAUUAGAGACAAAUAUUUCCCUCAGAUUACACAGAUCCAUAAGGAAUUUCACUUUUAUCUAUUAUCUAUUUCACGUGCUUUGGCAAUGUAAACAUAUGUUUCCCAUGCCAAAAAAAUCCCCUUAAAAUAGGUCCAACUCUAAAGCAAUCUCUUGAACAGAAUAAUAGAAUCCUCAGAAAUAUUAUAAACAUGAUGAUAGAGACAUUUAAGAGUAAACACACAUUUUCAUGGAAUGGAGAAAUCUAUUAUAGCUUACGUCGUAUAGACAGCUGAUCUGGUACGAUGCAUCUGACAAAGACACGCAUAUCAGUCUUCUGUCUCUCGGGCGGCAGCGUAGCCUAGUGGUUAGAGCGUUGGACUAGUAACCGGAAGGUUGCGAGUUCAAACCCCCAAGCUGACAAGGUACAAAUCUGUCGUUCUGCCCCUGAACAGGCAGUUUACCCACUGUUCCCAGGCCGUCAUUGAAAUUAAGAAUGUGUUCUUAACUGACUUGCCUGGUAAAAUAAAAAAAUAAAAUAAAACCAGCUGCUUCUUCUUUUACAGAUUCUCCUUUAAUGCUGAAGGUGCUGUUGUAGGAUCUAAUAUUAUCCUGAUUCUCCUUUAAUGCUGAAGGUGCUGUUGUAGGAUCUAAUAUUAUCCCGAUUCUCCUUUAAUGUUGAAGGUGCUGCUGUCGGAUCUAAUAUUAUCCUGAUUCUCCUUUAAUGCUGAAGGUGCUGUUGUAGGAUCUAAUAUUAUCCUGAUUCUCCUUUAAUGCUGAAGGUGCUGUUGUAGGAUCUAAUAUUAUCCUGAUUCUCCUUUAAUGCUGAAGGUGCUGUUGUAGGAUCUAAUAUUAUCCUGAUUCUCCUUUAAUGCUGAAGGUGCUGUUGUAGGAUCUAAUAUUAUCCUGAUUCUCCUUUAAUGCUGAAGGUGCUGUCGGAUCUAAUAUUAUCCUGAUUCUCUGUAGGACUGUAGGAUCUCGUUUUGUAGCUCUCAGCAUUAGAAUAUAUGUUUUUCUGUUGUUGUCACAUAAACCAGACAGGGUCAGUCAUAGUAGUAUGAUAGGUGUUGUUUUACAGGGUCAGUCAUAGUAGUAUGAUAGGUGUUGUUUUACAGGGUCAGUCAGUAGUAUGAUAGGUGUUGUUUUACAGGGUCAGUCAUAGUAGUAUGAUAGGUGCAGUGAAAUGUGUUGUCUUACAGGGUCAGUCAUAGUAGUAUGAUAGGUGUUGUUUUACAGGGUCAGUCAUAGUAGUAUGAUAGGUGUUGUUUUACAGGGUCAGUCAUAGUAGUAUGAUAGGUGUUGUUUUACAGGGUCAGUCAUAGUAGUAUGAUAGGUGUUGUUUUACAGGGUCAGUCAUAGUAGUAUGAUAGGUGUUGUUUUACAGUGUCAGUCAUAGUAGUAUGAUAGGUGUUGUUUUACAGGGUCAGUCAUAGUAGUAUGAUAGGUGUUGUUUUACAGGGUCAGUCAUAGUAGUAUGAUAGGUGUUGUUUUACAGGGUCAGUCAUAGUAGUAUGAUAGGUGUUGUUUUACAGGGUCAGUCAGUAGUAUGAUAGGUGUUGUUUUACAGGGUCAGUCAUAGUAGUAUGAUAGGUGUUGUUUUACAGGGUCAGUCAUAGUAGUAUGAUAGGUGUUGUUUUACAGGGUCAGUCAUAGUAGUAUGAUAGGUGUUGUUUUACAGGGUCAGUCAUAGUAGUACAAUGACAGUAAACUAAGUUCCUUGCUCAAGGACACAGACAGAUUUUUCCUCCUCGGCUUAGAUAUUCAAACCAGCGAACUUUCGGUAGUAUGUAAACAAUAAAUAAGGUAAACAUGUAUUGUGGUAAACAAUAAAUAAGGUAAACAUGUAAACAAUAAAUAAGGUAAACAUCUAAACAAUAAAUAAGGUAAACAUGUAAACAAUAAAUAAGGUAAACAUGUAAACAAUAAAUAAGGUAAACAUGUAUUGUGGUAAACACUAAAUAUGAUGGAUGUCUAGGCCAUAACCUCUCUGUUCUCCCUCACUAGGAGUAAUGUACAUACUAACCCCAGAUGGCUGUUCAUACAGCAGCAGAAAUUAUAGACUGCAUGAGUGUGUUGUUCUUAUUCCCCCCCCCCCUUAAAAACAUGUGGAGAGAGAGAGAGAGAGAGAGAGAGAGAGAGAGAGAGAGAGAGAGAGAGAGGAACGAUAAUCCUCUGCUUUCUAUUUUCCCUUCUUCAAAUCCCUUUCCCUCUUUCAACAGUUCUCUUCAGAAAGCUUCCUCUUGUCUUUUGGCUGUUUUAAGAUAAGGCCCCUCUCUCUCUGAUCUCUCUCUCUGUCACUCCUCUGACCACUAUCUGUUCUCUCUCUCUGAUCUCUCUCAUUCAAUGAAUCUCAUACCCGUUUGACUCCCGUUGCCCCUCUGAUUACUGCCUUACUCAUCACUAAGCACCC